rnacentral:rRNA from 1 species
UAAUAGGAUGUUACGAUUGUGUGAAUACAUAGCACAUUCGAGGUAGACGCAGAGAACUGAAACAUCUAAGUACCUGCAGGAAGAGAAAGAAAAUUCGAUUCCCUGAGUAGCGGCGAGCGAAACGGGAAAAGCCCAAACCAGCAAGCUUGCUUGUUGGGGUUGUAGGACUCCAAUAUGGUAGUUCUUUCAGAUAGUCGAAUGACUUGGAAAAGUCAGUCAAAGAGGGUAAAAACCCCGUAGACGAAAUGUGGAAGACACCUAGGAGGAUCCUGAGUACGGCGGAACACGAGAAAUUCCGUCGGAAUCCGGGAGGACCAUCUCCCAAGGCUAAAUACUCCCUAGUGACCGAUAGUGAACCAGUACCGUGAGGGAAAGGUGAAAAGCACCCCGGAAGGGGAGUGAAAUAGAACCUGAAACCGUGUGCCUACAACAAGUCAAAGCCCGUUAAUGGGUGAUGGCGUGCCUUUUGUAGAAUGAACCGGCGAGUUACGAUUGCAUGCGAGGUUAAGUUGAAGAGACGGAGCCGCAGCGAAAGCGAGUCUGAAUAGGGCGUUUGAGUAUGUAGUCGUAGACCCGAAACCAUGUGAUCUA